UACGUAGGGUGCAAGCGUUGUCCGGAAUUAUUGGGCGUAAAGAGCUCGUAGGCGGUCUGUCGCGUCGGCUGUGAAAACUCGGGGCUCAACUCCGAGCUUGCAGUCGAUACGGGCAGGCUAGAGUUCGGCAGGGGAGACUGGAAUUCCUGGUGUAGCGGUGAAAUGCGCAGAUAUCAGGAGGAACACCGGUGGCGAAGGCGUGUCUCUGGACAUUUCCUGACGCUGAGGCACGAAAGCCAGGGGAGCAAACGGG
rnacentral:rRNA from 1 species